CAGAUCUCGGAAGCUAAGCAGGGUUGGGCCUGGUUAGUACUUGGAUGGGAGACCACCUAGGAAGACCAGAUGCUGUAGGCG
rnacentral:rRNA from 1 species